UUCCAGAUAGCAGCGACUCACCAUCGAUAUCAAGCUCACCUGGAAUCUGAAAUUUCAAGUUCAGAUUCACUAGGGACGCAAGCUUUAUUGGAGCAAAAAAUGUUGUGAUGUCUAAACACCAGAAUUUACCUGGAUGAUAUCCGGAGAGAGCUUGGUGAAAUCUAUCUCAGCUAUUGUGAUGUCUUUUGCCUCCGCUUGGAAGGGACUUCUCAUAAUCUCACUACCACCCCCAGUGGACAUCCGAUGCUCAGGCGAAGAUAUGGGGGAGGGGAGAGUGAGAAACGGAGACAGAGGGAGUGGCAUGCGCAGGCUAUCAGAUGUUCAUUCACAACACGGUCUUCACAGAAGUCGGGCAGAUCAAACUCAUAGUCAAGCAACAGAGGCAGUGUCAAUACCUUAUCACUGCAACAAACAAAACAAGAGAAUUAAAUUGCAAAACAUUCUUAUGAAAUAUUUCAUUCUUAUAAAAUUAAUAUUGAUAUGGGGAGAAAUCUCAAAUAUAAGGGCAAAUAGUUUAGUUGGAAAUAAACUUAUAGGGCUUUUUUGCAAGAAAAGUAUAAUACUUAAAACAAUUAGAAUAUUAAAUAAAAAUUGUUUCCAGUAACUGACAUUCAAUGGGCCUAUAGUCUUUUAGGUCAAUAUCCCUGCUUAUUGUAGAUUCAAUACUAACAGCCACGUAAAAGAGAUUCAAUCCACACUAAUGGCAGACAUAAAGCAUGUUUGAGUAACUCACCUAACGGGUUGGUCCAUUUGUAGAUCAUCAGCAGAUGGUUUUGUAAAAAGGUCUUUUACAGCCUUCAUCAUGUCUGUGGCCUCAACUUUGGAAAAUAAUUUGCACUUGAUGUAAAGUGAUAAUUUUAAUAAGUGCUGUCUCCUCUCUUUAUCUAAACUGUUUAAAAAAUGUGCUAAAAAAUUCAUGAGAAAUUGAUAAGAAUCACAGGCACCCAUUUGAAUUUUUGUGGUAGAAAAUACACUGUAAAAUAUAGUAUGACGUUAGUCAUGACAUUGCUGUGAAUAUAGGUGCAUAUCUAGAAAUUGUCAUCUACACAUUCCUCGCAUGCCAAAAAUUAUUUUCUUAGUUGAAUCAAACCUCUGCACCCUAGAAAAAAGGAGUGCAGUGGCAGAAGAGAGGACUUCUAUAU